GAAGCUGAUCUCCAAGCAGACACAUCAUCUCUGCGUAUCUCUGCUCCCCAACCAGACAGUGACCUACUUCAGAAGUCAAACUGAGAUCAAAUGUUACUCUCUGGUUCAUGGGUAAAAAAACUUUGAAUCACAGAGGAACUAGAGGAAAACGAUGUCCAUCCUGCACACUGCUGUGUUCACAAUUAUAUUUCACCAAGUUGAACAGAACAGAGAACCUUCCCAACAGUUACACUGCACAGUGCGGGGAAGAGGGAACCAUGGUGCAAGGAUAUGAGUCACUGAGGGCACAGGAUGGAGGGAAGGUUCUUUGCCAGAGCGAGAUGUGCAUAUCAUCAAGCUCCUACCUGAAGUGUCAUGUGGACGGCUGAAGUCAUUUCUUUCCCUCCAGGGGACCCUUUGCAAUGUCAAACAAUGUAAAGAAGAGAAGUAGGUCAUGGUUACGUAGUUAUCUAAAAGCAGGCCUCACCUUUUCCUCACCACUCAUGCUCGCCACUUCUCCUCGUGCUGGCACCAGCGUUUGUUUGGCUGGUUGGUGAGCCAGAGGGAAUUAAUCCAGUUACUAAUGUGGCAAAAUACCUGGCAAAAAAAUCAAUACAACCUUUAACUGGCCACAACAGAAAAAAAGGGUAGCCAUAGCCUCAGACAGGCAGGGCUUGACGCUCUGCCUAGUUACAUUUAACCCCGUGACUUAUCUGUGAGGACUCUGAAAUCCACUGUUCUGUGUUCCCUCUUGUGACGGGUGAUGUGUGUGACGAGGAACCUAAAGUUUUCUUUUAUUCCCCAGUGAAACUAACUAUAUGCAAUCCAGUGUUUUGCCUCUAAUUUUUUGUUUUAAAGCUAGAAAAAAGUGAUGUUACAGCAUAAAGGAGAAAAUAUUCUUUGAUACUCUCCUAUUUCGCAUGUGUUGGUCCUACAGGAAUUUCAACAAAUCACUUCCUGGAGAUAUUCAAGAGCCAUCUUGACACAACCCUGAGCAAUGUGCUGUAGGUGACCCUGAGCAAGGAGGCUGGACUAGAUGACUUCCAGUGGUCCCUUCCAGCCUCGGCCAUUCUGUGAUUAUUCUGUGCCCAGCAACAGUAGCAAAUUGUAUACCCAAAUUUUCAGUUUUAUCUGUUCCAUAGGCCAGAGGAAAAGUGUACCAUAUAAUUUGAUUUUUACUGUUACUUUCACUGAUGGAUGUGCUUAUUACUUUAACAAGGCAUAAAACCCCA
rnacentral:lncRNA from 1 species